GACCACUGCCUCCCUUGAUCUGACUCCUCCUAAGCUGAGGAGUACGGAUGCCUACGGUGCCAGAUGCCUCGCAUGCCUACGCAUACAGCCAUCAACUAGAUCCUCUCUAUCCAUCGUCAAAUAAGGAUGGCAAUUGGAUUGGAUCAAACCAAAUAUGGGUUGGAUCAAAUAUAGGAUAUAUCCAAAAUUUAACAAUUGGCCUUAUCAAUAAUUAAAUCAAGUUAAACGGAC
rnacentral:lncRNA from 1 species